rnacentral:rRNA from 1 species
AAACCAACCGGGAUUGCCUUAGUAACGGCGAGUGAAGCGGCAAAAGCUCAAAUUUGAAAUCUGGCACCUUCGGUGUCCGAGUUGUAAUUUGAAGAAGUAACUUUGGGGCUGGUCCUUGUCUAUGUUCCUUGGAACAGGACGUCAUAGAGGGUGAGAAUCCCGUGUGGCGAGGAUCCCAGUUCUUUGUAAAGUGCUUUCGACGAGUCGAGUUGUUUGGGAAUGCAGCUCUAAGUGGGUGGUAAAUUCCAUCUAAAGCUAAAUAUUGGCGAGAGACCGAUAGCGAACAAGUACAGUGAUGGAAAGAUGAAAAGAACUUUGAAAAGAGAGUGAAAAAGUACGUGAAAUUGUUGAAAGGGAAGGGCAUUUGAUCAGACAUGGUGUUUUGCGACCCUCGCUCCUUGUGGGUGGGGAUCUCGCAGCUCACUGGGCCAACAUCGGUUUUGGCGGCAGGAUAAAACUUUGGGAAUGUAACUUGUCUUCGGAGAAGUAUUAUAGCCCAAGGCAAUACUGCCAGCCGGGACCGAGGACUGCGACUUUUGUCAAGGAUGUUGGCAUAAUGGUUAUAUGCCGC